UCAGCGGCGGACGGGUGAGUAACACGUGGGUAACCUGCCUGUAAGACUGGGAUAACUCCGGGAAACCGGGGCUAAUACCGGAUGCUUGAUUGAACCGCAUGGUUCCAUCCUAAAAGGGGGCUUUUAACUACCACUUACAGAAGGACCCCCGGCCCAAUAACUAAUUGGUGAAGUAACCGCUCACCAAGGCCACCAAGCCUAACCCAACUGAAAAGGUGAACCGCCACCCUGGGACUGAAACACCGCCCAAAAUCCUACCGGAAGCAACAAUGGU
rnacentral:rRNA from 1 species